AUUGAACGCUGGCGGCAGGCCUAACACAUGCAAGUCGAGCGGUAGAGAGAAGCUUGCUUCUCUUGAGAGCGGCGGACGGGUGAGUAAUGCCUAGGAAUCUGCCUGGCAGUGGGGGAUAACGUUCGGAAACGGACGCUAAUACAGCAUACGUCCUACGGGAGAAAGCAGGGGACCUUCGGGCCUUGCGCUAUCAGAUGAGCCUAGGUCGGAUUAGCCAGUUGGUGGGGUAAUGGCUCACCAAGGCGACGAUCCGUAACUGGUCUGAGAGGAUGAUCAGUCACACUGGAACUGAGACACGGUCCAGACUCCUACGGGAGGCAGCAGUGGGGAAUAUUGGACAAUGGGCGAAAGCCUGAUCCAGCCAUGCCGCGUGUGUGAAGAAGGUCUUCGGAUUGUAAAGCACUUUAAGUUGGGAGGAAGGGCAGUGAAUUAAUACUUUGCUGUUUUGACGUUACCGACAGAAUAAGCACCGGCUAACUCUGUGCCAGCAGCCGCCGUAA
rnacentral:rRNA from 1 species